UUAGGUGUUGAGAUUUGGCAAAUGAAUUGCAUGCAUUUUUUCAUGUAAUUAGGUUAUAAAUAGAGGUGUUUUCAAAUGUUGAAAAAACUUUUGCCUCUUUUAUCAUUUUCAUCAUCUCAACAAAAGAAAAAAAGAAAGCUUCCAAUCUCAUUUUAUCUCCAUUACUUUCUACACCAAAAUUGGGUCCCACAACCCGGUUCUUUGUCUAGAGGAUAGCAGUUGAGUACUAGUGGUGGUCUCGGUUAGAAUUGGUAAGAAGAUAUCAAACCUUUUGAAAGCUUCAAAUGUAAUAUUUCUUAAAACCCUAAUUUGAUUAGUUUAUGGUUACAUGUUAAUUGUGGCAAUUAGGGUAGAAAUUCGAUUCUUUUUCCGCUGUGCAUGACUUAGUUCUAUCAUGUGGUAUCAGAGCAUGCUUCAUUUUUACCCAAUUGCAUGUGGUGGGUUCAUAUUUAUUAGAUAAAUUUUGGUUUGAACUAAAAUGAAUAUAUUAUGAUUUUGGCUCAAGAUUAAGUGUUUUUGUUCUAAUUAUUGUAAUUAGCCUUGUUAAUGGCUUAUUUUUAUUGUUGCAAAGUGUUUGUAAUUUUUUAAAAAAUAAAAAAAGUCAUUAGAGUUGAAGUUAGGCUCUAACUGGUUCAACCGGGUGAGAGAAUUGAAAAAAAAUGAAGAAAAGAAGGUCACAGACCCGAAAACCCGCCUUGACCCGCUUCGCGACCCGAACGCCCCGCGCCCGCGUGCCGCGCGCCCUCCUUCGUCCGCACGCCCCGCAUGCGCCCGCCUGUGCCCGCGCGCCCUCCUGCGCCCACGCGCCCACAUGCGCCCGUGCGCCCGCUUGUGCCCGCAUGCGUCUGCACGCCCGCAUGCGCCCGCGCACCCGCCUGCGUCCCCGCGCCUGCCUUCGCCCGACCCGUGUGCGCCUGGGCCGGUUCAAGCGGUUUCGGUUGGUUUUUCAGCCGGUUCGAAGUUUUUGGGAGUGGUUCUGUACUACACCAAAGUAAUUAUGUAAUAAUUUAGUACUUAGCUUAAUUUAGGAGCCAAAAAUCAGUCCAUUUUAGGGUGUUUUUUUUUAUUUAUGCAUGUGAUGUAUGAUUAAAUUACUUUAAAUUUGUAUGUGCAUUUUGAAUGUCAUAUAGAUUUAAAAUCCCACCAUAGGUUAACAUGUUCAUGCAUUAAAAUGUAUGAUAUAAAGGUUAUAUUGUAUUGUAUGCAUGUUAAUUGAUUAAUAUGGAAAUUAAAAUCCCACCAUAGGUGUUUGCUUUUCAUUCUAGGUCAUAAAGCUUGGGUGUGACGUUUCGGCAUUUUCAUAUGCAAGCCUGCCAGAGCUGAAAAUGUUCAAAAUGUAUUAUAGGGGAGGCAUACCAGUUGAAUCCCCGCUCGAGCAUUAGUUGUACUCUUUGCAAGCAACCCUUUUCGUGGCACGCGUGCGGGGCCUGUGAGCUGUCCUCGAGAGGUGCCUGCCAAUGUCGUGGGCAUAUGUCCUGGUCACCCUUGGGCUGUCUCGGGACCACGUUGGGCUACUCCUGGGCCAUGCUAAAGGAGUCGUGGCACGUAUUGGCGCAAUUUUGCGGGUGAUUUUUGGGGUCAAAGCUUCACAUGUGACAUCAGGCUUACUUCUUUUCAUUUCUUUCUUUUUUCUUCUUCUUUCUUUUUUCCCGUUUUAAAUUUUAUCUCUAAACCAAACUCCAACUAACUCUAAUUUAUGUUUAGGAACUUGUAAUUUUGGAGUACAAUAUAAGUAUAAUUGUUUGUGUUAUAUUGUUUUUUUUAUUAUUAUUACUAUUAAAAAUAGCCAAAUUAAUUAAAAUAUUUAUAAGGUAUUUUAAAAUUUGAUAUUCGAUAGAUCGAUCAAUGUCACUAAACAUAUAAGGGCUUAUCAAUAUCUAUUAUUAAUAUAAUCUAGUAAAUAUUUUGUC
rnacentral:lncRNA from 1 species